UUUAUCAAAAACACAACUCCGUGCUAAGCCGAAAGGCGCUGUAUACGGGGUGACGCUUGUCCGGUGCCGGAACGUUAACGGUUGAAGUGUCCCACACAUAACUUACGAUAGUAUUAGUAAGGUAAUACAUCAUCGAAGAUAUUCGCGAGUUAUGUGUGGGAUGCAGAGGCCCGAAGCGCCGGUGAACGACGGCGAUAACUAUAAUCGUCUAAAAGUAGGUAAUUUACUGCUUUUAUAAAAUCUGACUAUAUGCUGGAAAGUCUGUGGAUAGAAUCCUAUAGUAUCGAGAACUACGACAUGGUAAUAUAAUACCAUGCGUAAAAAUGUUUCUCGUGCAGACAAUCAGCAGGAAAGAUUAAGACUUGAAGGUUGGAUAAGUGGUUUUGUUGAUGGCGAAGGAUGCCUCACUAUAAGUAUUAUUCGAAAUCAUUCAGUAACUACUAAGAUUGGUUGGCAAAUAUUUCCAGAGUUUAUAGUGAGUCAAGGUGAGAAAAGUAGGGCCGCAUUGAAAAGAAUUGAAAAGUUCUUUGGGUGUGGUUACAUAAAUCUGAAUACUCGCCAUGAUAAUCAUCAUGAACAAAUGUUGAAAUAUUGUGUCCGAUCAAUUCAUGACCUUGAUAAAAAAAUUAUUCCUUUUUUUGAACGAAAUAGGUUGAGAACUUAUAAAUAUAAGGAUUUUCAAGUAUUUCGUAAAAUCAUUAAACUAAUGAUAGCCGGAAGGCACAAAUCAGAGAAAGGAUUAAAUAAAGUACGAUCUUUAAUUCAAACCAUGAAUAGGAGAAAGUACAUGAAAGUAUUAAAAUCCUCAGAGACUAUACGUCAGAAUCGACCUCUCGCGUCAAAAUAGAGGCGAUAAGAUAUAGUCCGACCUUCGUGGCGACAUGAAGAGGUGAGUAGAAAUAUUUACCCAAUUCUAGGUUCCGAAUAUCGGUUUCUAGAUUUAGUAACAUAUUUGAGCGAAGUACCUUGUGGGGUAAGUUCCCACGCGCAUGAAUAGCGCAACGACUGGGGGACUGUCUCAGCCAAUAGCUCGGUGAAAAUGCAAUGUCAGUAAAGAUGCUGACUACCCGCACCAAGACGGAAAGACCCCGGAAGCUUUACUGCAGUUUGGUAUUGGGCUGCGAGUUGUGAUGCGUAGCGUAGUGGGUACACUUUGAAGCGUCUCUCUCGGGAGGCGUGGAGUGGCCAAUGAAACACCCAUCUUCACGAUUUGCAGUUCUAACUGGUCGUACCCUCUCUGGUCUGUUUGGCGGAAAUCAAUCUAUCCGGCCCGUAUAAUGUGGGCCGUGGGUUGAGAAGUACGAUCCGCAGGCUGGAGAGGGUGCGAUCAAGACAGUGCCUGAUGGGCAGUUUAACUGGGGCUGUUGCCUCCUAAAAAGUAACGGAGGCGUUCAUUAAGGUUGGCUAGCUCCGGAUGGAAAUCGGAGCGAUAGUGCAAAGGCAUAAGCCAGCUUGACUGCGAGACGGAUGUGUCGAGCAGGUGCGAAAGCAGGACUUAGUGAACCGACCCUUGUUCGUAGGAACGGGGAAGAUCAUCAGAUAAAAGCUACUCCGGGGAUAACAGGCUGGUACUGCCCGAGCGUCCAUAGCGACGGCAGUGUUCGGCACCUCAACUACAUCGGGGUGCUAUGAGAGUAAUCUCAUACCUACAAAAAUCUGGCUUAUAACGGUGGAAUCGACCCUAGUUGUAUGGUAAAAUGAGAGUACCAACUAGGCGAUAAUACCGUGGGAAGUCUUACACAAAACCAAAGGUCUUUAGUCAUUGGAACAAUCGUGGGAGAUGGAUAUGUGCGAAUUAUUCCUCGAAGGAGAAAUGCCUUCCUGGAAGUCAAUCAUUCCGCUUCUCAAAGAAUGUAUGUUGAUUGGAAGUAUCAAAUGCUUCAAUCAAUUGUGAAAAGCGAACCAAAACUUCGCAAGGGAAAUGGCAAUAGAAUAGCAUGCGGAUUCUUUACACGAUGCCUUCCCGAGAUCACAGAUCUUUUCCACUAUUUCUACAAAGAAAGAAGGAAAAUGAUUCCCAGUGACUUAUCACUUGAUCCGUUGAGUCUCGCUGUUUGGUAUAUGGAUGAUGGAUCGCGUAGCGGCGGAUCCCUCUACUUGAAUACCCAGCAAUUCUCAAUGCAAGAUCAGGAGACUUUGCAGAGUAUUCUCUUGAAUCAAUAUGGUAUUCAUUCCGGAUUGAAUCGAGACAAAGAAUACUGGAGAGUUCGAAUUGUGACCGCCGAUGCGCAGAAAUUCUGCAAUAUCAUUCGGUCGCACGUCAUUCCUUCAAUGGAAUAUAAACUCAUGUAAUGACCCCGUAGAGACUUGACCUUAAAUGGUCGGAGCAUUCUUUUUUAAGAAUGCUAACAUGCCAGCGCCUCUCGCAAGAGAGGAUGAAGAUAUAGUCCAUACUAUUAGAAAUAAUAGAAUAAUAUUAAGCGAUGUCGGCUCGCCCUAGCGCGGGGGUGGAGAAGCUCCCAAGCGUAUGGCUGUUCGCCAUUUAAAAGGGUACGCGAGCUGGGUUCAAACCGUCGUGAGACAGGUUGGUCCUUAUCUGGUGUGGGCGCAGAAGUUUGAGGGGGGUUGUCCCUAGUAAGAAAUUGCUACUUCGCGGAGUAAUCCGCGAUGACAACUCGGCUAAUAACGGUGAACUCUUAACAAUCCAGGAUCCGUUGAUAACUAUCGUUGUUUCGGUCCUUUGACGAUGGUACAAUUUACUUGAGGACCAGGAUUAAUUAAGACAAUACCGUGGGAAGUCAAUCAAACAUAGAUUUAGCGUAUAUUGCUGGUUUUCUUGAUGGAGAUGGGAGCCUGAUGCUCCAAAUCAAGAAACGCAAAGAUAGCAAAGCCGGAAAGCGGUUCAUGGCGACUGUCUGCUUCUACCAAGACAGCAGGCACGCAGAAUCGUUAUCCUGGAUUCGAAGCAUAUUUGGCAUAGGAUAUCUCUCGAAUCGCAAUGAUGGCAUGAGUGAGUUGCGAAUCAAUGGAUUCGCUCAAGUCAAAAAAAUCAUUCAAAGCUUGCUACCGUUUCUGCGUUUCAAAAAACAUCAAGGAAAUGCACUAUAUCAAGCAACAAGUAUUCUGGAACAAAAAAGUCUUACUCAGUUAUCUCGGAAAGAACUCGAGAAACUCGUGAGCCUGAUUGAAAUAAUCCAGAAUGAGAAUUAUGUUGCUCGCAGGAAGAAGACGAAAGUCGAACUGCAAACUAUGUUAGGUUUGACCCCGUAACGACUGAGGCCUUCGGGCCGAGAUAGUAUGUGAUGCGAUAAUAUCAAUGACAUACUAUAAUAUGCCGAUUCCCGAACCGGGCUUAGCUCGGAGGGAAAAGAUAUAGUCUGCACCCAUGGUGACAUGGGAUUCAGCAAGAAGCUUAGGGCUUGAAGCUGACAGCUUAUAGCUGUAAAUGUGACGAGAGGACCGGGAUGAACGAACCUCUGGUCUACCAAUUGUUCCGCCAGGAGCAGUGUUGGGUAGCUAUGUUCGGUGCCGAUAAGCGCUGAAAGCAUAUAAGCGCGAAACGGGCCCCAAGAUGAGACUUCAUAGAUCCGUGAGAUAUUAUCACGUUGAUAGGGCGCAGGUGUACGCACCGCAAGGUGUUCAGCCAAGCGCUACUAAUAGAUCAUAGUACGCAGUCUU
rfam:Candidatus Yanofskybacteria bacterium RIFCSPLOWO2_01_FTLL_49_25 rifcsplowo2_01_scaffold_1531, whole genome shotgun sequence.